CACAGAUCCCAGAGCCUCCACAGAUCCAGAGGAAAGUGACAACAUAAAGAAAGAUACUCAGCAGAAGCACAUCCGUAGAAGGAUCUGUGUAUCAGUAAUUU